CCACAAUGGGCGCAAGCCUGAUGGAGCAACACCGCGUGAGUGAAGAAGGGUUUCGGCUCGUAAAGCUCUGUUGUUAAAGAAGAACACGUAUGAGAGUAACUGUUCAUACGUUGACGGUAUUUAACCAGAAAGUCACGGCUAACUACGUGCCAGCAGCCGCGGUAAUACGUAGGUGGCAAGCGUUAUCCGGAUUUAUUGGGCGUAAAGAGAGUGCAGGCGGUUUUCUAAGUCUGAUGUGAAAGCCUUCGGCUUAACCGGAGAAGUGCAUCGGAAACUGGAUAACUUGAGUGCAGAAGAGGGUAGUGGAACUCCAUGUGUAGCGGUGGAAUGCGUAGAUAUAUGGAAGAACACCAGUGGCGAAGGCGGCUACCUGGUCUGCAACUGACGCUGAGACUCGAAAGCAUGGGUAGCGAACAGGAUUAGAUACCCUGGUAG
rnacentral:rRNA from 1 species